CACGUAGGCACCAAGCGUUGUCCGGAUUUAUUGGGCGUAAAGAGCUCGUAGGCGGUUCAGUAAGUCGGGUGUGAAAACUCAGGGCUCAACCCUGAGCGGCCACCCGAUACUGCUGUGACUUGAGUCUGGUAGGGGAGUGGGGAAUUCCUGGUGUAGCGGUGAAAUGCGCAGAUAUCAGGAGGAACACCGGUGGCGAAGGCGCCACUCUGGGCCACGACUGACGCUGAGGAGCGAAAGCAUGGGUAGCGAACAGG
rnacentral:rRNA from 1 species